UACGGGGGGGGCAAGCGUUGUUCGGAAUUACUGGGCGUAAAGGGCUCAUAGGCGGCCAACUAAGUCGGAUGUGAAAUCCCCAGGCUCAACCUGGGAACUGCAUCCGAUACUGGAUGGCUUGAAUCCGGGAGAGGGAUGCAGAAUUCCAGGUGUAGCGGUGAAAUGCGUAGAUAUCUGGAGGAAUACCGGUGGCGAAGGCGGCAUCCUGGACCAAUAUUGACGCUGAGGAGCGAAAGCCAGGGGAGCAAACGGG
rnacentral:rRNA from 1 species